GUCUUUCCUCCUAUGAUUGAUUACAAAUAUUUGAUGUCUUAAUCUUAUAUAUAUGGAGAGGUAUAACUUGGUAACUAUGCUAACCUGAAGAGGAGACAAAGUGUAGUCGAUUGACUUGUCUUGACGUCUACUGGAGCGUGUGAAAAGCCCUCCUAUCCAUGAUCUUGUUCCAACCGUAGCCGUAGGAAUAACCACCGGCUCACUGAAACAUUUAUAUACAUAUGAGCUGAUAGGUAUAAGUAAUCAUUAUACAUUACUUCAUUAAAUAAGAUAUUUUUAAGAACUGAUUCUUAGUUUUUUUUAGUUAAAACUUAAGAGACAAUUUCUUAUAUUCCGCUAAGAACUUCAUCCUAAGAACUUCUCAUUAAUCAUGCUCUAAGUAAUAAACUAAUCGCUCACACAUAUAUGUUUUUUUUGGUCUAACACAUAUACAUGUUUCUAUAUAUAUUCAUAUAAUUAAACGUGUUUCAUAAUACCCUGUGAUCUCUAGCAAUAUACUACUCACUAAAACACAUAUAUUUAGCUAAAUGAGCUAUUACGUGAGUGGAACUACUUGACCACUGCCAUCUCGGCUCUUCUUUUCUUUUUUCUCGCCUUUCCCACGCUUCAUCCUCCUCUACCUGCACACAUUUUCAAACACAUACUUGCAUUUUACAUUAGCCGUACACAUUACUUUAAAAAAAAAAAAACUUGGAAGGAUCAGAAACGUUUGACUGAGCUUAAUUACUUAUAAGUUACAACCAAAGUGACACUCGUUUACGUAAAAUGAAGAGUAAAUAAACGAUUGGAAUAAACAAGAACAGUGUAAAAUGCAAGAUUGAAAAUAACAAUAUGAUAUUAACAAAGAGAUGAAUACUUUGUGAAGACACAAACAAGAUGGAAAAUAUUGCCUAUGCUUCCUGAAGGUAUUUUAUUCAUUCAUGUUCUAACUAACAUAAUAGCGCAAUCAAAGGGGUUUUCAUUGCAUUACCUUUUAUGAAACGAUUGGAAACUUGACAAUGCAAAACAUCAUUUGCAAACAAUGAUAACCAAAUCAAAUUUAACCAUCUUUUGAACAAAAUUAUUAUGAUUGAUCAAAAAUUCGAAGAGAGGAAAAAGUUAAAUCUUGAUAGACAUAAGAACAAGACAAUGGAGGAGGAGAUG